rnacentral:rRNA from 2 species
UUGUUUGAGCGUCGUU